GUACGGAACCCUUUAGAGAUAGAGGGGUGCUCGAAAGAGAGCCGUAACACAGGUGCUGCAUGGCUGUCGUCAGCUCGUGUCGUGAGAUGUUGGGUUAAGUCCCGCAACGAGCGCAACCCUUGUCAUUAGUUGCUACAUUCAGUUGGGCACUCUAAUGAGACUGCCGGUGACAAGCCGGAGGAAGGUGGGGAUGACGUCAAGUCCUCAUGGCCCUUAUAGGUGGGGCUACACACGUCAUACAAUGGCUGGUACAAAGGGUUGCCAACCCGCGAGGGGGAGCCAAUCCCAUAAAGCCAGUCGUAGUCCGGAUCGUAGUCUGCAACUCGACUACGUGAAGUCGGAAUCGCUAGUAAUCGUGGAUCAGAAUGUCACGGUGAAUACGUUCCCGGGCCUU
rnacentral:rRNA from 1 species